AUGAGUCUUCGCUUAAAAGAGGCUGGGGUUAUGCUCUCCAGUUUCGCCCAAGGAUGGGGCCGCGACCGAUCAGGUUGUUGGUGAGGUAAUGGCUCACCAAGCCUUUUACCGGUGCGGGCCGUGGGAGCGGGAGCCCGGAGAUGGGCACUGAGACAAGGGCCCAGGCCCUACGGGGCGCAGCAGUCGCGAGAACUUUGCAAUAAGCGAAAGCUUGACAGGGCUAUCCCGAGUGCCAUCCGCUGAGGAAGGCUUUUACCCAGUCUAGAACGCUGGGGGAAUAAGGAGAGGGCAAGUCUGGUGUCAGCCGCCGCGGUAAUACCAGCUCUCCGAGUGGUGUGGAUGUUUAUUGGGCCUAAAGCAUCCGUAGCUGGCCAGGUUAGUCCCCUGUUAAAUCCACCGAAUUAAUCGUUGGAUUGCGGGGGAUACUGCUUGGCUAGGGGACGAGAGAGGCAGACGGUAUUUCCGGGGUAGGGGUGAAAUCCUAUAAUCCCGGGAAGACCACCAGUGGCGAAGGCUGUCUGCUAGAACGCGCCCGACGGUGAGGGAUGAAAGCUGGGGGAGCGAACCGGAUUAGAUACCCGGGUAGUCCCAGCUGUAAACGAUGCAGACUAGGUGUUUGGACGGCCACGUGCCGUUCUAGUGCCGCAGGGAAGCUGUUA
rnacentral:rRNA from 1 species